rnacentral:rRNA from 1 species
UGCCAGCCGCCGCGGUAAUACGGAGGGGGCAAGCGUUGCUCGGAAUUACUGGGCGUAAAGCGAGCGUAGGCGGUUAGUCAAGUUGGUGGUGAAAGCCCAGAGCUCAACUCUGGAACUGCCAUCAAAACUGACUUACUUGAGAUUGGUAGAGGGAAAUGGAAUUCCUAGUGUAGAGGUGAAAUUCGUAGAUAUUGGGAAGAACAUCGGUGGCGAAGGCGAUUUCCUGGGCCAAUUCUGACGCUGAGGUUCGAAAGCGUGGGUAGCAAACAGGAUUAGAUA